AUCACAUACUUAUUCCACUAGCUUUAACACAAUAUUAAUAAGAAAAGGAAGGAAGUGUGGGAAACAAAAACAUACAACAACGAAAACUGUAAGAACUCGUGUAUUAAACCAGACCUGAAUUUCAGAAGGACCCAGAGAAGGCGGUGAUGAUUCUAGUAAUUCACAUAAAGUGUGAGACAACUUGAGUGCAAUGCUCUGGAUUUUCAGCAACUCAGGUUCACUCUGCAAAACCCAGAGAAUUUUGCUCUUCUUCGGAGACCAUUCUUCCAGUGAUUCCCUAGCUUCAUUAAUGGCUACAUCUAGUUCUUCACACUGCCUGCAUAUGGUUUCAUCUGAAGGAGCUUUCUGUUGAGCAACAUCAUCCAGUACUGGUUUCAAUAGCUUCAACAAAGUUGCAAUAUUUUUGUAGUUCUUUUGACCAGGCAUACUCUUUGAUGUUAGACAUGUCACGAGGUGAAUGAAUCGAGAGAUACUGUUUAUAAGGCACCUUACAG
rnacentral:misc_RNA from 1 species